AUGAUAAGGGGGAUGAUAAGGGGGAUGAGAGAGGGACACACUCGACAAAGUCUCGAGUGUAGUCAACUCAAUCAUCUGUCUAGGUUGAGCCAGAGAAAACCAGAGGAAGGGUAAAAAAGAAACAUGUGGACGAAGGAGUUGGAGUCAAUUUUAUGGAGGAAUUCUCGAGUAUUUUGGGAUUAUGCCAGUCCCCUUGGAUCAGAUUGAUGACGACUAAUGCCCAAUUCAUUCUCUACUCACCAUCACCAGGAGAAGAAAGUCAAAUUGUCGAAUCGAACGGAAGAGUCACGUGAUAAUAAAAUAUCUGUAAAUCCAGGCGAGUAAACUCUGGCUGCAGAAAACAAAAACAAGAAGCCAAAAAAAAAAGAAAUCAAAAAGGCAAAAAGGCAGUAAGGGAGAAGAAGAAGGAGAAGGAGAAGGAGAAGGAGAACAAGAGGCUCGAGUUUUAAACAGUGGGGAGUGAACAAACACACCUAGGGUUACAAUCCUCAUGAACGAGAGGUGAACAGAAUGACAAGGACAGAAUGAGUGAAGCAGAAUGUUAAAACUCCUUCGACUACUGUGUCUCUUGCACUCGUGUCUUGAAUAACUAACGUACAUCUUAUAGCUAUCCUCCAGCAAACUGUACAACAGCUUAACUCAGUUUGCAUAAACGCCCUCAGUAGCAAAUGCACUUGAUCUGACGCACGUAAGCCCUUCGACUUGUUCCAACAGUUUCCACGCAACUUUCUGGAUUGUUUCCAAUUUGAUAUGUUUCAAGACACACCAACUUUCAACCCCUACGGUGACAUCGACUGGUGGUGAAGAAUUCAUUACCAAACUCGAUCUAAUUAACUAGAUUAAUUUCAAAUGUAAUCUUCUAAUUUUUUAUCUAAUAAGUGGUAAUAACUUCUCUGAAACUGGUCCAUUCGUUUUCACAGUUUGCUAUUGCAUUUUAUUAUUCAAUUACUAGCAAUAAUUAUUGAUCAUUAAUAGUUAUAGCCAUGCAGAAAUUUGAGGGUGGAGGAUCUAGAGGAGAUGUAUGUUCACACGAUUUUUCAAGUUUGAUUUUUAAUUUUUUCGGAUUUCAAUUAUUUUUUCAAGAUAUUUUCAAAAAAUUUUGUAAAUCUCUCGAGUUUCGUUUUUCACUCUCGUUGGGCAGAUCUUUUCUAUCGGGAAUUUAUCAAGCCACCACAAAAGUCCUGACGAAUUUUUCCCCAGAAUCGAUAGUUCUCGAGAUGAAUUGAUAAUUAAAAAAUCCAGAACAGACAUUUCAUUUUUUUUCAAAUCCUCAACUUGAGAAUAAUUUUUAAUUGUUGUGCCUCAGAAAGUAGUAAAAAACGUUAAGGACCGGAUGGACUAUCUAUCGAGCGUCGACUUUUGUUUAAAUUUUAUCUUUUUAACUCAAAAUACAUUAAAAU